rnacentral:lncRNA from 10 species
GUGCCAGCCAACUGUGGCUGCCUGGGACACUCCAUCUUAAGUCCCUGUGCCUCUGCUGUGUGUUACUGAGUGCCUAGGCCGUGCCAGCCUGUAUUCAUCUGUACUAUGACCUGAAGAGGCAGAGGCCAUCACUGUUGGUCCGGUCUCCACCUGGGGAAACUGAGGUUGCACAGUGUCUCUGUGGUGACGAGCAGGGCUUCAUCCAGUGCCUCUGUCCCCACCGAGGGGACUAUGGGAGACAUGGAGGGUGUGUGAGCAACAGGUGAGACUGGAGCCAGCUGAAAACUGGGAGACCGACCCAGCCAACAAACAAUGUCGGUCUCUGUCUUGGCACCUGCAGGAAACAAGCUCCUACUUCCAGAAAAAGUGCUCCUGGGACUCCAGGAUACCAGGCAUCUGGGUAAGCUACAAUGCUUAACCACUUAACACAAUCAGGAAGCAACAGCCAUGCAUUCGGGAAAGGAACUUCAGUGUUGUGUGGCUCAGUCUCCAGACCUAACUUUCCCUUUGGUACAGACGCGGUGGUACAUGCCUGUAAUCCCAACACUUAGGCAGGAGGAUCACUCGAGCCCAGAAGAUCAAGACUAGUGUGAGCAACAAAAUCUCCUGCACCGUCGAGGGGGCACCCGCCAGCUUUGGCAAGAGCUUCGCGCAGAAAUCUGGCUACUUCCUGUGCCUUAGUUCUCUGGGCAGCCUAGAGAACCCGCAGGAGAACGUGGUGGCCGAUAUCCAGAUCGUGGUGGACAAGAGCCCCCUGCCGCUGGGCUUCUCCCCCGUCUGCGACCCCAUGGAUUCCAGCUUUGCACACGCCGCUUCCUCUGCCUGGGGCACUUUUUCUCUCCUUUUUGUAGCUCAUUCUCCGUCCUCCGUCAGAUGUCACCUUCACCCUUCCCUACCCCUCCUCUUCUGGGCCCACAACCCUAGUGCAGCCCUCCCAGCCCCACCUGAACUUUCCCACCCUUUCUUGUCAUUUUUAUUUGACUCAGGCUAUAUUCAUUCAUACUAGAGUUGGCAAACCUUUUUUUUUUUUUUUUUCUUCAGACGGAGUUUCGCUCUUGUUGCCCAGGCUGGAGUGCAAUGGCGCGAUCUCAGCU